CAGAGUCGCUGUAAUGAAAGCUCGGGAAGUUAUGGAGAGAAAGGAGACGAUCCCAGUGAUAAUUGCCAAAGCCCUGUUGCCUGUGGAGAGGGUGAUGCUUGACUUUCUUGUACAGCUGCAGUUUGUGUGGUGAAGGUGCUCCCACAAUGUGGUUGGGAUACUACAGGUGGACAUUCAGAUGGUAAUCCCAGUCAUUGUAACACCAAACUCUGAUUGAAUUAGUCAGUUCAUCAGGACCUGUAUGUUCGCAU